CACUUUUCAAAAUGGUAAUUUUUCGAGACCCACUUGCUUUUAAUGCAUAUUUUAAAACACCAUGGCAAAUGGCUUUAGAGGCAUACAAUUGGCACAAUCUGCUUUAGAUGCAUACACCGUGGCAAUCAGUUUUAGAGGCAUAAAAUUGACACAUCAUGGAAAUCCGUUUUAGAUGCAUACAAUUGGCAAACCAUGGCAAUCCGCUUUAGAUGCAUACAAUUGGAACAUUAUGGCAGCUUUAAAUGCAUAAAAUUGGCACACUAUCGCAAUCAGUUUG